UACGUAGGGUGCAAGCGUUAAUCGGAAUUACUGGGCGUAAAGCGUGCGCAGGCGGUUAUGGAAGACAGAUGUGAAAUCCCCGGGCUCAACCUGGGAACUGCAGUUGUGACUGCAUAGCUAGAGUACGGUAGAGGGGGAUGGAAUUCCGCGUGUAGCAGUGAAAUGCGUAGAUAUGCGGAGGAACACCGAUGGCGAAGGCAAUCCCCUGGACCUGUACUGACGCUCAUGCACGAAAGCGUGGGGAGCAAACAGG
rnacentral:rRNA from 1 species